UAAAAAGGAAAAAAAAUAACUAACAAUUAAUAAAUAAAUUUGUAAUAAUUAAUUUUUAGUUUCUUAAUAACAUAUUACUACAUUUGAUGAUUUUUUAAUUGUGUAAUUGCCAAUUAAUAAAAUUAAAUAAUUAUAAUUAAAUAUAUAAAUUAUUCAUUCCUAUGUAUUGGGAUAGUUUUACUGUAUUGGAAAAUUGUAUAAUAAAUAAAGUAAUGUUAGAAAUUUAAAUUUAGGAUGUAAAGGGUAAAAAUGUCUUAAAAUAAAUUAGUUUAUAAUGUGAAUAUCAUUUAUUACUAUCAUGGCCAAAUUAUGGCGAAAUUUUAUGGCCAAAACGUUUUUUCCUUAAUUAAGACACUGUGCUCCAAAAGUAAAAUUUUCUCCCCUUUUUCCAUUUUUAGUCUUUUUCUCUUUUUUAUUUUUUAUUUCUUAAUAUUCUGAUUGGACAAAGUUUGAAAGUUACAAAUUAUUCAAUUUUCUAUGGAAUUUGAUUUGAUUCUCUCCUUUUUUAAGUCUAAAAACUCUUUAAGUGGUGACACAUUUAAUCUAAGCUUUGUCUGUUUAUCUAUCAAUAAUUCUCACCUUUUUAUGGCAAUUUAUUUCUCACAUUUUAUUUCACACAGGUCAUAAAUUCAAAUUACGAAAAUAAUCAUGAAAAAUAAUAUAAAUAUAUACCUUAACUUAUUAUAUUUAUACAAAAAUUUUAUUCUUACAAAGUAAUUAUAAAAAUUUCAACUAAUUAUAUAUCUUUAUUGAAUGUAUCGGGAGCUAAUUAUGUAUCUCGACAGACUCAAAAUUGAAAAAAUAUAUCGAAAACUAAUUAUGUAUCUUUUACAAAGUAAAAAAUAUAUUUUUUUUAUUAUGUAUCUCGACAGAUUCAAAAUCGAAAAAAAUAUAUUGAAAGCUAAUUAUGUAUNNNNN
rnacentral:lncRNA from 1 species